AUAAAUUAAAUUGGAUUCUGCUCUUACGCCAAAUGAUGGUUUGCAGUGUAAUCUGGUCUGCUUAUUUUACGAAUGGUCUCUGCAUUGGCGCUCCUACUGUUAUCAUCCCUCAAAUUCGUCGCGAAGCAAAUUCAACAGAUGUUAUCACUCAAUCCAUGGCAUCAUGGUUAUCGUCCACGGUCUCCUACGGUGGAACAGUGCUGGUGAUGUUCGUUACGGUUCUACCAAAAUGUAUGGGACGAAGGGCAUCUUUCUCUCUUCUAACAAUGGUAGCGCUGAUCGGUUUCUUGAUAUUGUAUUUUGCUAAAACG